rnacentral:rRNA from 1 species
UGCCAGCCGCCGCGGUAAUACGGAGGGUGCAGGCGUUGUCCGGAUUUAUUGGGUUUAAAGGGUGCGUAGGUGGCUUUUUAAGUCAGUGGUGAAAUUUUGCAGCUUAACUGUAAAAGUGCCAUUGAUACUGGAGAGCUUGAGUAUUGUUGAGGCAGGCGGAAUUUAUGAUGUAGCGGUGAAAUGCAUAGAUAUCAUAAAGAACACCGAUAGCGAAGGCAGCUUGCUAAGCGAUAACUGACACUAAUGCACGAAAGCGUGGGUAGCGAACAGGAUUAGAUA